CGCACAGACGUUCAUGUUGAGUCACAGACAACCACACACACACACACACACACCUAUACACGCCUGCUCUUUGUCUCCUGUGCUUCGACGCGCGCAUCCCGACAACGCCCGGCGUCUUGUGCCGUCUUCCACCUUCCCUCUCCACCCGUUGCAUGUCUGCACUUCGUCUUGCCACACCCGCUUUGUCUCGCCAUGCCAUCGCAUCCACCGACCCCCUUUUUCCCGUGUCUUUCCCUUUCAACUCCCCUUUACGUGGACCCCUGAUGGCAUGGGGGGGGACGCCUCCCAGCGCGUGGUACGCGUCAGAGUCCAGCAACCCCACUCUCCGCGGGGAAGCCAAGCAGCCCCCUCCCCUUCCCUCUCUCCCUCCCUAUCCCCUGCCAAAUGCUGAGCCGCGUCUGGUGGUGACAGGGUCAGGUUGUGGGUGGCGUUGCAUCGGUGCGACCCAAGCGUAUCGCAGCUGGCCCCUCGCUGCCCACUGGUGCGGGUAACCUGUGCGCCACCCCGAGGGGGAUGCACCACGUGGCGACUGCCAUGGUGGGAGCGGCGGUGAGGCGGCCUGCGGGGCGGGUGAUUUGGUGGAGUUGGAGGCGGGGGAGGGGGGGCUCUGCUCAGGUGGCCGGCUCGGCGCAGUUGCUGCAACGCGUGUGUGCCCACGGCUGCUUCGCACCACGCGAUGGGGGCCCGGCGCCGGGACCGGGCAGCGUGGAGCCGGGCUUAUGUUGAAUGACGGCACAAAGACGUUGAACAAAACAUUAAUUUUCCGAAGAGCGCGCGUGCCUUGUGUGCGUUGUAGGCGUUUCUCGAGGCGGCGUUCUCCUUUUUUUUCUUCUGUGCGUGCAUGCCCUGUGUAUGCGCGCCUUUUUCUCUUUCUCUUGGAUAAGUGCUGAGCGUGGACGAAUCUGUCCCUUACACCUCGUGUGGAUAUGCGUGUCUGUGCGAUGAGUGAGGAUGGACGUGGUGCGGCUGUGCACUCAGGUGAGGGAAGGCAAGAUGGGUCAUGAGUGUGUUUAGGGUUCAAGUAGGAGCAGGCGGGUUAGGAGAGAGGGCGUUGAGGUUGGUGAAGAGCGAAAGUGCCAAAUCACGGGGACUCGCCUCGGUAUCAUGGACACGGUAGGAAAAACGGCAACGUAUGAGUUUUGCUUACAGGACUCAGGCCCUCUUCAGGAGGUGGUGGGGGGAGGCGGCAGCAGCGCCACAGGUGUUGAAGCACAAUAAAGAAGCAUGUAGUAUUAAAGGAGCAUCAAGGCGCACGGGAUACAUGCACAGCAAAACAAGAAAAUUGAAUAAAAACGAAAACGCCAAGAACAGAAAGAAAAAAGAGAGAAAGGAGGUGAAAGGGGGGGGGGAGAAGAGAAGGAAGGAGAGGAGGAGGAGGAGGGGGGGUACUCGUUUUUGUUUGCUUGCUUUAUUAGUAUCAUUUUUAUUUGGCUAAACAUCCGCUCCUGCACACCACGCAUCAUUGCCUUUUCGCCCGCUUGCUCCAUCUCCCUCCCUCCCUCCACCCCCCACUCGACACCUGCAGCAGGAUUGCUCCUCCUUUUUUUAAAUUAUCGUUUUCUUUUGUAUCGCAGAAACCCGCAGCAGCGCGACCAAGGCACGGCUCACUUG
rnacentral:misc_RNA from 1 species